UGAUAAUUAAAGAAUGAAUACCUUCAUGUAUCAACUAGAAACAUGUGGAAGCAAAUGAGAAGUCAACUGAUAUUGUAGGAAUGAGAUUAAGCUACUGAUUUUAUUUGGAAAGUUUUUAUGCUGGUCAGCAUUGAGAACACAAUGAGGACCUAAUAUAUGUCAUGAGAUCUAGAUAUUGAAUUACCACAUAUACUGCAGAUGCUUUAUUGUAGAUCACCA
rnacentral:lncRNA from 1 species